rnacentral:rRNA from 1 species
GAUUAACGCUGGCGGCGUGCAUAACACAUGCGAGUCGAACGAUGAAACUUUAAUGAACCCUUCGGGGAGAAUUAAAGCGGAUUAGUGGCGAACGGGUGAGUAACGCGUGAGUAACCUGCCUUACACAAGGGGAUAGCCUUUGGAAACGAAGAAUAAUACCCUAUAAAACCAUAAAAGCACAUGCAAUUAUGGUCAAAGUGAUAGCGGUGUAAGAUGGACUUGCGUCUGAUUAGCUAGUUGGUGAGAUAAAAGCCCACCAAGGCAACGAUCAGUAGCCGGCUUGAGAGAGUGUACGGCCACAUUGGGACUGAGACACGGCCCAGACUCCUACGGGAGGCAGCAGUGGGGAAUUUUGCACAAUGGGGGAAACCCUGAUGCAGCGACGCCGCGUGAUUUAGAAGGCCUUCGGGUUGUAAAAAUCUUUUGUAUAGGAAGAAAAUGACAGUACUAUACGAAUAAGGUCCGGCUAAUUACGUG